UAAAUUUGAAAGAUGGCGGCCUACGC
rnacentral:piRNA from 1 species